UUAAUGAGAGUUUGAUCCUGGCUCAGGACGAACGCUGGCGGCGUGCCUAAUACAUGCAAGUAGAACGCUGAGGUUUGGUGUUUACACUAGACUGAUGAGUUGCGAACGGGUGAGUAACGCGUAGGUAACCUGCCUCAUAGCGGGGGAUAACUAUUGGAAACGAUAGCUAAUACCGCAUAAGAGUAAUUAACACAUGUUAGUUAUUUAAAAGGAGCAAUUGCUUCACUGUGAGAUGGACCUGCGUUGUAUUAGCUAGUUGGUGAGGUAAAGGCUCACCAAGGCGACGAUACAUAGCCGACCUGAGAGGGUGAUCGGCCACACUGGGACUGAGACACGGCCCAGACUCCUACGGGAGGCAGCAGUAGGGAAUCUUCGGCAAUGGACGGAAGUCUGACCGAGCAACGCCGCGUGAGUGAAGAAGGUUUUCGGAUCGUAAAG
rnacentral:rRNA from 1 species